rnacentral:rRNA from 1 species
UCGAGAAUCAUUCGCAAUGGGCGCAAGCCUGACGGUGCGACGUCGCGUGGAGGAUGAAGGUCUUCGGAUUGUAAACUCCUGUCAUGUGGGAUAAAUGGCCAGGGCAAGAAUACUGCCUUGGAAUGAUAGUACCACAGGAGGAAGAGACGGCUAACUCUGUGCCAGCAGCCGCGGUAAUACAGAGGUCUCGAGCGUUGUUCGGAUUUACUGGGCGUAAAGGGAGCGUAGGCGGUUCGGUGUGUUGAAUGUGAAAUCCCACAACUCAACUGUGAAAUGGCAUUCAAAACUACCGGGCUAGAGUACUGGAGAGGAGAGCGGAAUUCUUGGUGUAGCGGUGAAAUGCGUAGAUAUCAAGAGGAACACCGGUGGCGAAGGCGGCUCUCUGGACAGAUACUGACG